rnacentral:lncRNA from 1 species
CUGGCGGUAGGCAAGAUGCACAUAUUUUGUAACAAGAUAUGUUUUGGGGAAGUCUUUGAAAGAGCGUACUUACAUGGCAGUUGAACAUAAUUCAAAUGCUAUAAGAGGACUUUAUACCAAUAACAUGACAUAUUUCAAGAAGGCAAUCUUGGUUUUACUAGAGAGCGUUUGGGGAGGGAUUGUGGUUGAGCUAUUUUAGACUAGCC